GGUUUGGUCCUAGCCUUGCAGUCAGAUAUUACUUAAUAUACACAUGCAAGUAUCCGCCCCCCUGUGAAAACGCCCUUUAAUCCCCUCUAGGGACAAGGAGCUGGUAUCAGGCACGAAAAUCUGCCCAAGACACCUAGCUAUGCCACACCCACAAGGGAAUUCAGCAGUGAUUAACAUUGAGCAUUAGCGCAAGCUUGACUCAGUUAAAGUAAGAUAGAGCCGGCUAAUCUGGUGCCAGCCGCCGCGGUUACACCAUGUGGCUCAAAUUGACCCCUUCCGGCGUAAAGCGUGAUUAAAGUUAUUUAUUAAUAGAGUUAAACUGAAACUAAGCUGUGACACGCCUGUUUAUCAAGAAACCCAAAAACGAAAGUUACUCUAACUUAAUCAACUUGACUUCACGACAGCUGG
rnacentral:rRNA from 1 species